AGGAUAAUAGUUAAUUUAUAACAUUUAAUUUGCAUUUAAAAAAUAUUGAUCUUCAAUUUAUCUU
rnacentral:tRNA from 1 species